ensembl:lncRNA
GGGAAACAUAUCGUCAGCAGGCCGCAACACCACCCUGUGUGAAGGCUAUAAUUUUCAACACAGAACAUGGACCGCUUUGUGCUGAUCCAAACGCUCAGUGGGUCAAAGAUCUCAUUGCGAGCAUGACGAGGGUAUGAAGUACAAAGUGUGAGGUGAAGCAUCGCUGCCUGUCGGCUCAUCAGUAUCUCCUCAUGAAUUUUAUUCGAACUUUUCUUUGAAAUGUUUUUAUUACUUUACUCUUUUAAUUCUGUUCUUGUUCUUAUAUGACUUUAUAGUGACGACUAAUAAUGGACGUGAAUCUAUGCUUACACGAACCAACUGAUUUUCUUUUUUUUUUUAAGUUUAGUUACAUAUUUAGUUUCAAAUCUUCUUUUAUUCUUUAUUUUUUGCUUUUAUGAUUCCAUUUAUCUGUGUAUAUCAUGAUGUUUUGUAAAGCUGACUCUGACAAAUGAUAUCCAAAUGAACUUUGACCACCAGUCAUUCAAUAAAUCUAAUAUCUUAAUAAUC